rnacentral:rRNA from 1 species
AGUGAACGCUGGCGGUAGGCCUAACACAUGCAAGUCGAACGGCAGCACAGUAAGAGUUUGCUCCUACGGGUGGCGAGUGGCAGGCGGGUGAGGUAUAUAUCGGUAUCUACUUUUUCGUGGGGGAUAACGUAGGGAAACUUACGCUUAUACCGCAUACGACCCACGGGUGAAAGCAGGGGAUCUUCGCAUCUCGCGCGUUUGUAUGAGCCGAUGUCGGAUUAGCUAGUUGGCGGGGUAAAGGCCCACCAAGGCGACGAUCCGUAGCUGGUCUGAGAGGAUGAUCAGCCACACUGGAACUGAGACACGGUCCAGACUCCUACGGGAGGCAGCAGUGGGGAAUAUUGGACAAUGGGCGCAAGCCUGAUCCAGCCAUACCGCGUGGGUGAAGAAGGCCUUCGGGUUGUAAAGCCCUUUUGUUGGGAAAGAAAAGCAGCAGGUUAAUACCCCGCUGUUCUGACGGUACCCAAAGAAUAAGCACCGGCUAACUUCGUG